rnacentral:rRNA from 1 species
AGUGAACGCUGGCGGUAGGCCUAACACAUGCAAGUCGAACGGCAGCACAGUAAGAGCUUGCUCUUACGGGUGGCGAGUGGCGGACGGGUGAGGAAUACAUCGGAAUCUACUUUUUCGUGGGGGAUAACGUAGGGAAACUUACGCUAAUACCGCAUACGACCUACGGGUGAAAGCAUGGGAUCUUCUGACCUUGCGCGAUUGAAUGAGCCGAUGUCGGAUUAGCUAGUUGGCGGGGUAAAGGCCCACCAAGGCGACGAUCCGUAGCUGGUCUGAGAGGAUGAUCAGCCACACUGGAACUGGGACACGGUCCAGACUCCUACGGGAGGCAGCAGUGGGGAAUAUUGGACAAUGGGCGCAAGCCUGAUCCAGCCAUACCGCGUGGGUGAAGAAGGCCUUCGGGUUGUAAAGCCCUUUUGUUGGGAAAGAAAAGCAGCAGGUUAAUACCCCGCUGUUCUGACGGUACCCAAAGAAUAAGCACCGGCUAACUUCGUG